rnacentral:rRNA from 1 species
AUGAGUUGGUCCAAGACGAAGAAAAUGAUGCGGCGAGAAUUUGUGCCUUCCACCUACACGGAACAUCUUCAACGCCAAUUGGAGAACACCAUACAAGGAUCCAAGUCCCUCGACGAGUACUUCAAGAACAUGAAGGAAGCCUUGCGACGUGCCGGAGUGGAUGACCCCAUUUGGAUGAAGUUCUACUUCAUGAUGGGAUUGAACAACGACAUCUCCAAGACUAUCUUCCUCGAGAACUACAAGUCCCUCGACGACAACUACAUUGGUUCUCUCAAGGCGGAGCAAGAACUCAUGAAGGCCAAGUCUACUCUACCUGGAGCUCACUUCUCACCGACCAUGCUACAAGACGGCGAGAGUGAUGAUGUGCUGUCUUCGACCUUCAUCCACGACAAGAGUGAUGAUGUGCCAUCCUCGGCCUUCAUCCACGGCGACGACUAUGAGACGGUUGAUCAUCGGAUUUCCCCUUAG